ACACAAUUCGUUUAUUCAAUGCAUAAUUUUUUGCAUAUUUGUUGAAGGCAAUAUAUGGUCCAUGCCAAGUGAAGUUUAUUGUGUCGAUAAGUCAUCCCUAGGUUUGGACUUUUGAUAUCAUUCAAUCCUGUUGGCAAUGAACUCUACAUUGAAAUUAUUGCUUUGAGGGAAGAGAGAACAGUUCCAACGUUGCUUGUGGUUGAUAAUGCUAUGCUCCUAGCAUGACACUAAGUGGCUUUAACUUGAUUAUGAUAUCUUACGAUGAUGCAAUACUGGUAGGUCAUCGUAAAUGGCAAAGGAUUCUAAGAUCUAAGGUAUUUGGAUGUAUUGACUUACAUGAUGCAACACUGCAAGGUCAUCACGAGCAUUCAAUGUGGCAUUACAUAAGAGAAGAAUCCUUAUGCAUAAUUAUUUUUUUUCAUACCUGCAGAAAUAUCACAUUUAGGGAGGGUAUGCAGGAUUCUAAGAUCUAAGUUAUUUGGAUGUAUUGACUUACAUGAUGCAACACUGCAAGGUCAUCAUGAGCAUUCAAUGUGACAUUACAUAAGAGAAGAAUCCUUAUGCAUAAUUUUUUUUUUUCAUGCCUGCAGAAAUAUCACAUUUAGGGAGGGUAUGGGCAGAGCUUGAAUAAUUUUUAAUGCUAAAAUUAUUUCAAAAUGGUAAAUAAUAAAUUUGAAAAG